CCUGAUGCAGCCAUGCCGCGUGUAUGAAGAAGGCCUUCGGGUUGUAAAGUACUUUCAGUUGUGAGGAAGGGGGUGUCGUUAAUAGCGGCAUCUCUUGACGUUAGCAACAGAAGAAGCACCGGCUAACUCCGUGCCAGCAGCCGCGGUAAUACGGAGGGUGCGAGCGUUAAUCGGAAUUACUGGGCGUAAAGCGCAUGCAGGUGGUUCAUUAAGUCAGAUGUGAAAGCCCGGGGCUCAACCUCGGAACUGCAUUUGAAACUGGUGAACUAGAGUACUGUAGAGGGGGGUAGAAUUUCAGGUGUAGCGGUGAAAUGCGUAGAGAUCUGAAGGAAUACCAGUGGCGAAGGCGGCCCCCUGGACAGAUACUGACACUCAGAUGCGAAAGCGUGGGGAGCAAACAGGAUUAGAUACCCUGGUAGUCCACGCCGUAGACGAUGUCUACUUGGAGGUUGUGGCCUUGAGCCGUGGCUUUCGGAGCUAACGCGUUAAGUAGACCGCCUGGGGAGUACGGUCGCAAGAUUAAAACUCAAAUGAAUUGACGGGGGCCCGCACAAGCGGUGGAGCAUGUGGUUUAAU
rnacentral:rRNA from 1 species